UACGUAGGGUGCAAGCGUUGUCCGGAAUUAUUGGGCGUAAAGGGCUCGUAGGCGGUCCAUCACGUCGGGAGUGAAAAGCUGGGGCUUAACCCCAGUCCUGCUUCCGAUACGGGUGGACUAGAGGUAGGCAGGGGAGAACGGAAUUCCUGGUGGUAGCGGUGAAAUGCGCAGAUAUCAGGAGGAACACCGGUGGCGAAGGCGGUUCUCUGGGCCUGUACUGACGCUGAGGAGCGAAAGCGUGGGGAGCGAACAGG
rnacentral:rRNA from 1 species